rnacentral:lncRNA from 1 species
AGCCCCGUGCGGAGGCCUGAGGUCGGCUAAGGCCGGGGGUGUGGGUCGGUAUCUGAGGCUUGGGGAGCUGGACUGUAGGAGCAGAUCCGGGGCAGAACAGGGCAGGGCUGUGGGGAAAGGGAGGGGGCUUUGGUGCCCAACUAGCAGCUGGGGGGGUUACUGGAAGACCUCUCCAUGCUAGAGGCUCGAGGCGGGCUGCGGAUGAAGUGCCAUACGGAGGGGCUCCGGGACUCCCCCCCGGGCGGGGCAGGCUCGGUGGGACACCUCAAGCUUCCCCAGCCAAGGAGAGGCCUGGGUGUCCCCUGCCACUGCUGCUGCCAGCUCUGCGGGACCCUGUGCCCCUGGGCUCCACCCAUCUGGCUCCCUGUCGGCCCUGGCAUCUGUCACGGCAUGGACUAGGCCUGGGCCUUGGGGACCCAGCUCCUGCCCCUGCAGUCCUGGGAAAGGAGAGGAGGGCUCGGGGCCUGCCUGCACUAGAGGUGGUAAAGGUCAGCUCUGGGCACCUGGCCAGGGUCCCGGGCUGGCCCUGCCUCUGUGUGGGCAGGCUCGUCAGGUCUCCACCAGCUUUGGCUCCAGAGGAGCCACUCAGGAGAGAGGUUUGAGGCUCUGCAGGACAGAGAGCGGGGCCGGGGCCUCUCCCGCCUGGGUGGGGGACACGAGCAGGCGAGGGCGUGGGGGAAUGCUGGCUGUCCACGGUGCUUCCGGAGCACUUCUGCCUGCCCAGGUAUUUGGCCAGACCAGCUCUUCUGGCUCCCCUGGCCCAGGCUGGGCAGUGGGGAUUUGGGGCCGAGGCCCGGUCAGGCCAGCCCUGGGGAGCAGGAGGCUUGGAGAGAGAUACAGACUCUGCCUGCCGCCACACACACACAACAGAACACGCACCAGGCCCCGGGUACCCACAGGUCACCACUUCCGAGCUUUGCACUUCCUCAGUGCCAGGACCCAGACACUCCUCCCCCACCACCGUGACCCAGCCAGUGAUGUCAGUCGCCUGCAAGAGCACCUGGGAGGCACAGGGCAGCUCCUCUUGCUCCGGCUCCACCCCAGGGCUGCUCCGAAUCAUCCGCAUGCCUGGGAUGUCCAGCCGGGUCAGGAUGCAGAGAGGAGAGCCCAGCCCCCGGCCGCAAGCGCAGCCUGGACCUGACUGCUUCUUUAGGGCUGAGUCGGGCGAGGCCUCAGCUCAGGGCUGAGCCCAGACUUCUAAAACCUGCUGGGGCCUCCUCAGGGCUGUCUACACCUGCCCAGGAUUCCCUGCCCAGACGGGUCGGAAGUCAGGGUCAGGGACCCUUCCCCGCCU